rnacentral:rRNA from 1 species
GACUAACGCUGGCGGCGUGCCUAACACAUGCAAGUCGAACGAUUCUUUGAUUUAUAGCAAUAUUUAUUAAAGAGGAGUGGCGAACGGGUGAGUAACACGUAGAUAAUCUGCCUUUCAGACGGGGACAACUCAGGGAAACUUGUGCUAAUACCCGAUGAGACCACAAGAAGGGAUUUUUGUGGCCAAAGGCGGGCAGCAAUGCUCGUGCUGAAAGAUGAGUCUGCGUCCUAUCAGCUAGUUGGUGGGGUAAAUGCCUACCAAGGCUAAGACGGGUAGCCGGCCUGAGAGGGUGAACGGCCACACUGGGACUGAGACACGGCCCAGACUCCUACGGGAGGCAGCAGUGAGGAAUUUUCCGCAAUGGGCGCAAGCCUGACGGAGCGACGCCGCGUGAGGGAUGACAGCUUUCGGGUGUAAACCUCUUUUAUUAAGGAAAAGAUCUAUAUGCUAAUAUCAUGUAGAUUUGAUGGUUACUUAUUGAAUAAGGCCCCCGGUCUAACUACG